AGGGUUCGAUCCUGGCUCAGGACGAACGCUGGCGGCGUGCCUAACACAUGCAAGUCGAGCGAGAGGAGUUCCUUCGGGAACAAAUCUAGCGGCGGACGGGUGAGUAACACGUGGGCAACCUGCCUUGUAGAGGGGAAUAGCCUUCCGAAAGGAAGAUUAAUACCGCAUAACAUUACAUUUUCGCAUGAAGAAGUAAUUAAAGGAGCAAUCCGCUACAAGAUGGGCCCGCGGCGCAUUAGCUAGUUGGUGAGGUAACGGCUCACCAAGGCGACGAUGCGUAGCCGACCUGAGAGGGCGAUCGGCCACAUUGGGACUGAGACACGGCCCAG
rnacentral:rRNA from 1 species